rnacentral:rRNA from 1 species
UACGAGGGGGGCAAGCGUUGUUCGGAAUUAUUGGGCGUAAAGAGCUCGUAGGCGGCUUGUCACGUCGAUUGUGAAAGCCCGAGGCUUAACCUCGGGUCUGCAGUCGAUACGGGCUAGCUAGAGUGUGGUAGGGGAGAUCGGAAUUCCUGGUGUAGCGAUGAAAUGCGCAGAUAUCAGGAGGAACACCGGUGGCGAAGGCGGAUCUCUGGGCCAUUACUGACGCUGAGGAGCGAAAGCGUGGGGAGCAAACAGG